CUCUCAGGCCGUAUCAGCCUGAAGGCGCCCGAUCUCUUCUGAUCUCGGAAGCUAAGCAGGGUCGGGCCUGGUUAGGAUCUUGGAUGGGAGACCACCUGGGAAUCCCGAGUGCUCGAGGCU
ensembl:rRNA 5S_rRNA 5S ribosomal RNA